rnacentral:rRNA from 1 species
GACGAACGCUGGCGGCGUGCUUAACACAUGCAAGUCGAACGGAAAGGCCCUGCUUUUGUGGGGUGCUCGAGUGGCGAACGGGUGAGUAACACGUGAGUAACCUGCUCUUGACUUUGGGAUAACUUCAGGAAACUGGGGCUAAUACCGGAUAGGAGCUCCUGCUGCAUGGUGGGGGGUGGAAAUUUUCGGCGGUUGGGGAUGGACUCGCGGCUUAUCAGCUUGUUGGUGGGGGAGUGGCUUACCAAGGCUUUGACGGGUAGCCGGCCUGAGAGGGUGACCGGCCACCUUGGGACUGAGAUACGGCCCAGACUCCUACGGGAGGCAGCAGUGGGGAAUAUUGCACCAUCGGCGGAAGCCUGAUGCAGCAGCGCCGCGUGCGGGAUGACGGCCUUCGGGUUGUAAACCGCUUUCGCCUGUGACGAAGCGUGAGUGACGGUAAUGGGUAAAGAAGCACCGGCUAACUACGUG